UAUGUCACUUGUGCUAAAUUUGGUUCUAGAAUAAUUAGAUAUUUUGUUCCAAGAAGGAGGCAACAACAGAGAGACAUGACUCUCUUCUCUAGAUUCUCAAGGAUUGCUCUUUGAGUUCUCCUUCUUCCGGUACCAUCCCUUUUGUUUUCCGUCUUCUCAUUUUCCAUGAAUAAACCCAAUUGUUUUUGUCCUGCAACCAGUUGGCCCUUUUCCCUGUUUGUGCUUUGGUGUGGUUGCUUCUCCAUUUUGCUUCACCACUUCUUCUUUUUCUAGUGCCCUGGGAAAAUUCUUACAAUCUCAACUUUGAAGCUCUAACUAAAUUGGGAACAACAACAAUUACAACAAAAAAUAUAGGUGAGGUGGAAGCGUCCUAUAGCCUCACGGUAGACAUCUACUUUAUGUUGAGACAGAUAAAGUAUGUGUUUUAUCUUCGUAUUCACAUCCCAGAAUUAAGUUGCCAAAAUCAGGUGGCACAGUUGGUAAGGAUUUGAAUCUUGAAAGGUCUUCGUGUUUGAGCCAUUUUUUCUUGAUGUAUUUUGCCAAGACGACAUGGAACUUUGCUCGCAUCCUAUGUUGUUUACACUGUCAAUAUUCAUUUUAGAGGCACACGAAUAUUUGGUGCAGUAAUUGAGGAUUGCUAGCAAAAGGAUUAAAGGAUGCAAAAAUGUAUGUAAUUUUACAUUAUAGUUGAAAUAUUUCUUGAGUAUAUUUAGAUUUAAGAAAAUUAUGCAAAAGCUAAGAUAUUUAAGAGAAAUUAGUCGUUGCAGGCCAUUCUCACUGGCGGUUCUCUUAAUGGAUAUCCAACAAUGCUACAAUGAUCACUUCAACCAUUUAUUGCUUUAUGCUGCAUUCAUGUUACUUUUCAAAUUAGCUAAACAUUAGUAUCGACAACCAAAAGCUUAUAACAUGAGAAACUCCAUAUCAUAACUGAAGGAUGAGAGAAAUGUCUCAUAGGAAGUUCAAGCCCCCAAGACAGGGGUCUUUGGGCUUUCUACCCAGAAAGAGAGUUGCUCGACAUAGGGGAAAGGGUAUGCAAUAUUCUUUUCGGUACUACAUAUAAUUGUUGGAAUCUUGAUCCAUUGUUCUAUUUUCAUUAAAUUGAUCAGUUACCAGAAGGUAGUAGUUGGGAUAUGAUGGUCUAAAAUGUCCAGAAGCAAGAUUCUUAUCACGGAAGAGUGUUUAGGUGUCUCUCCCCUCUUUUCGGUUGAUAAACAAAAUAAAUUAAUUCACCCAAUCCCGGGAUAGCUCAGUGAAAAAAAAAGAGUUAUUUCUGCGAUUUUCAUUUGCUUUCUUCUUUUUCAAUGAAGGUACCCUCUACCAAGAACUGGUGCAAGUCCAAGAAGUAGGCCUUUAUGAAAUACUCCAAGAAAUAUGAGACUGAUGAAGUUAAAAAAGAUAUCCAGGCACAGCAGGAGAAACUGAAGAAGUAUGCUUAUGUCACUCGUGUGUUACCUUACACUCAGUGAAUAUGUUGAUCUUAUAGGGAUCGAGAAAGUGAACAAGUUAGCAAGAUAUCACCUACAGGACAUUUAGGUUGGACCCGUGCUGAAUAUUUUGGUUGAAGGAUAGCGUUGAGUACUACUGGUCUAUGCCAAAGUGCAGAGAAAAUCUAAUAGCACAUUCUAUGAUAUGUAGUUCAUAUUUCUAUAGACUAUAAUGUUAGAUUCAUGGGUGGUGCUAUGCAUUUACUGUAAUAAAAAAAUACCCAAUUAUGCACAUAUUGUACAUAGACUAUUGGUUAUUAGUAUCUAUUUAAAUUUCAGUACGAAUUCGUGUUUGGCCUUAUUUAUCUUGA